GAUGAACGCUGGCGGCGUGCCUAAUACAUGCAAGUCGAGCGAACAGAUGAGGAGCUUGCUCCUCUGACGUUAGCGGCGGACGGGUGAGUAACACGUGGAUAACCUACCUAUAAGACUGGGAUAACUUCGGGAAACCGGAGCUAAUACCGGAUAAUAUAUUGAACCGCAUGGUUCAAUAGUGAAAGACGGUUUUGCUGUCACUUAUAGAUGGAUCCGCGCCGCAUUAGCUAGUUGGUAAGGUAACGGCUUACCAAGGCAAGGAGGCGUAGCCGACCUGAGAGGGUGGUCGGCCACAUGGGAACUGGGACACGGUCCAGACUCCUACGGGAGGCAGCAGUAGGGAAUCUUCCGCAGUGGGCGAAAGCCUGACGGAGCAACGCCGCGUGAGUGAUGAAGGUCUUCGGAUCGUAAAACUCUGUUAUUAGGGAAGAACAAAUGUGUAAGUAACUAUGCACGUCUUGACGGUACCUAAUCAGAAAGCCACGGCUAACUACGUG
rnacentral:rRNA from 1 species